rnacentral:rRNA from 1 species
UACGGAGGAGGCAAGCGUUAUCCGGAAUUAUUGGGCGUAAAGCGUCCGUAGGUGGUUUAUCAAGUCUGUUGUUAAAGAGUGGGGCUUAACCUCAUAAAGGCAAUGGAAACUACAAGACUAGAGUGCGUUAGGGGUGAAGGGAAUUCCUGGUGUAGCGGUGAAAUGCGUAGAGAUCAGGAAGAACACCGGUGGCGAAAGCGCUCUACUGGACCUGCACUGACACUGAGGGACGAAAGCUAGGGGAGCGAAAGGG